CCGAGCCCUGCGGGGCCUCCCCUUAGAGCCGGCCCAGCGCUGCAGGAGGUGGUGCUACAUCAGCACGGGGAUUCAUGUCAGGCUGAACUCGAGCCCUGCGGAGCCCAGCAGCGUUUCACAGCUGUGUGACUCGGGAACAGUGCUGUCACCUUGACUGUCCUCUCAAGUUUAGACAGAGCCUCCUCGUAUUGCUGCACCAACGGCUUUAACAACCUGCCCUUGACCAAGUGCUUCUCUAUGUCUGGAAUGCCGGCAUCCUUCAACAUCUGCAGAAACCUGCGUUGCUGCACAAUAAAACAGACACAGGAGAAAAAGAAGUGAGUGCUCCCCCUUCACAAGGCGCACCCUGCUGCGUCCCAGCUGGAACACGAGCACAUCUGGGGAUUCUCUGCCUAGUCAUGGAAUUAAGAUUUUCCAAGUACAAAACACAGCUGAUUGGAGAAGGUUAAAAAGUAACGUGAACUUUCUGCUCCUUACAGUCCUCCAUCUUUCCAUUUCAAAUGAACCUGAUACCAAUGUCAUACCUGGAUUCUGAGGACCAUGCUGAAAGCUAAGCCUGCUUUUCCUGCACGAGCUGUUCUUCCAACACUGAAAUCAGAACAAGGAACAUCAAGUCAGUUCAGUCACGCAUUAGUCACUGCCAUUAUCAGCUUCAGGAGCCUGGUUGAGAAACUCUCCAGAUUUAGGAGAAAGUCUGGAUUUGCAUGUUUAACAGGGCCAUGUGUUACAAAGGAUGAACAUUUCCAGAGUCCAUUUACAGCUGCUGAGCCUCUGCAGUGUUCUGAGCAUCUGGAAACCCAACUUGAUGCUCUCCAGGACAAUGCUUGUAGUAGCUCCUGUAGAAUACAUUUAUAUAACAGGGUGCCAGAUUUCUGUUUUAAUCCCACAUUGCUCUCAUCAUGCCAUGAAUUAGCUUCCGAUUUAACAAGCUAGUUCUACAUUAAAAGGAGUUAAGUUAAAAGGAGUUUCAGCUCUGGAUUUUUCUGAGUGCAUGUUGCUUAUGCUAAGUGUUUCAGAGAACACCGAGCUCAAACACCUUCCUUUUGUUCCUGCUUCUCUUACCGGUGGAUGUAUGUCCUGAUGAACUGAGGUGUGUCAUAGUUUAUUACACAAUUCACUCCUUUAAUGUCAAUCCCUCGAGCAGUGGCAUCUGUGCUGAUUAACCUGGAUUUAAAUGUACAUACAGUUGCUUUCAGGUAACAUCUCUGCCAUUACACAAGCACACACAAAACAGCUGAACACAGCACAACUACUGCUUAUCUGUUAAAACUGGGUAAACUUCUCAGCUCUAAGCAUUAAAGCAGCAUUGGAAGUCACACAGUAUAACUGGCAUUAGCUGUCUGUUCCAAAUGUCACUACAGUUAUAUAUGAAAAACUACAGAGCAUUUCCAAGUUCUCCAAGCAUGUAACACUGAGCCAGGCAGCUGCCAGCACAACAGAGGUUACAAACCUGUAAACCAUCUGAGCCCUGUUUAAAUAUCCUCUUAGUUUUACACACUAGAAUUAGUAUAUGUCCUAAGACUUACAGGAAACUCAUUUAAGAUACUCACAGUUGUAUCUUUCCUUGUUCAAAUUCCUUCAUGGUCCUUUGUCGCUCAUUUGGAGGUAUACGAGAAGAAAAUUCGGCCACAGUGAUACCACCAAAAGCCUGAACAAGCAGGAACAAUCUGCAGGUGGAUGGGAUAGAAACCAUCGCUUCACUACUUAACCCUGUAACACCACUAUGGCAGCCACCUGCCAAAUGAUCUCAUGAAUAUACUCACCUGUGAGAAGCCUCUCUGGAGUUGGUAAAGCACAACACACGGGUAAACUUCUUUGUUAGCAUGAAGUGCAAGAGGAGCAAUGGCUUGGAAUUCAGGUCACAAGGCACAUAACUUUGCUGCAGUCAUCAGGGAAGAAGUUCAGAGACAAAUUACUUCUCACCAAAGCUAUUUUCCCUGAAACUUACUAGGAUAUCUUCCCUGAAACUUACUACUUGUCCAUAACAUAUAUAGGCUUGGAUGUUUUGCAUCUAACAGCAACAAAACCAGAUCCCAUAGUGCCACCCCCUAUUUAGAACAAGUCACAGCAACACAGCACAAGGCAGAGGCAGGAGACCUAUUUUUUUCUAGUGCUCUGACUUCCCUAUAGCAAGUAUCAGCAUGCGCUGUCUUCUUGUCUACAUACUGAUCUGUACUCGCAUGCCUCAAAACGCAUGCUAUACGUAUAUAUGUAAAAUAUAACUUGAGAUGGACAGUUGAGAAGUGCUACAUUACUACUUAUCUCCACUCCCUUUUGCAAGCAAACUUAAUUUGAUACGAAGAGCUUAAUUUUAAAGAAUUCCAGUCCUGACCAAACAAACAAUUAGUAAUGAGAAAACAGAUGAGUGAAGGCAGAGCUCUUUGAGUAAAAAACCUCCCAAAGCCACUUUCUUUCAGCAUCUCUGUCAUACAAGGCACUGAAGGAAAGGUGUAUUUGUCUGUAAGCUACAAACAUCACUAGAUACCCCACACUUAAACUAAUCUCAAAGUCUAACUUAUUCAAACACUUUUUUUUCCCAGCAGCUACCAAAUAGGUUAUUUUUAUGGAUGCAAGAGAAUUAAUAUCAUACCGACAGCCCCUCAGGGAGUGUGUACUUCUCUUCAGAAUCUUGUUCGGCCUCUGUUCCAUCUCUGAGUGUUUUUUUCUCAGAGUAGACAGAUGUGAAGAGGCGAGGCUGAAACAAGCCCAACUGCUGCAGCUUCUCUGGGUCCUGGGUCAGCGUAGCUGAAAACAGCAGUUUCUGUAAGGGUAUCUGAGGGUAACAGCAGCUGAAACAAACAGCAUAUGGAAACUGAACUCUGAGCAUAGGGCAAAGGAAUUCCCCCACAUGUGCUUUCAGAUGAUGUUAUGAGGGAAGUAAUUAACGAUUUUUAACACCCUUUUCCCGCUCUGGGCCCUUCUGGUAAAUCUUGCUUAAUAGUGGAGCUCACAGAUGGAACUGGAUCAGCAUUCUUAACUCAACUGCACAGCACUGAUUUGUUACCUUGGCACACAUCCCUGCACCCCAGUCACCCCCACCCCAAUCCCAGUCACUUCCUUCCUCCAUUGAUGAUCUCACUUUCUGAUGCACUUCUGCCAUGCUAUUUGAAAAGAGCAGCUGCAAAUGCACAGUUCAGCAUUUCCCUUCCAAGUCUGUCAGAGGGCAACGCUCCUGUUUGCUGUGUGAAUGAUUCAGAGACCUGCAGUAUUUGUGUAUUCUUUUGGUGCUGCUUUAGAAUAGUUAGGGAAUGCCUGAAGAAGGCAAUACUUAGAUUUCAGUCUAAAAGCCAUCCCUCAAUACCAGCUGUUCAGUGCCUGCUUUCACAAGCUUUGAAGAAGUAGCUGCCUCAGUUUGGCAGACAUUUCUCGGAAUAACCUUGCAAACAGUUCAAAGAAAUGCGUUUUGCAGCUUACCUCGCUGCUGUGACAGGUCCUGGUAUGGUCCUCCGAAAAAGUCUAUUAGAACCAGCUUCAUUUUCUGCUUGGAACGCAGCUUUGACAACCUGGUUCAGCCAAUUCUGGUGCAUGUCAUCAAUCAUACGGUCAGCUUCGUCUAUGAUCUGAAUUCACACAGACAAAAGACAUUACCUGUUAAAUA